CCCGGAAGCCAGUUUGGCAUGAAGUGUGAAAAUAGGACUCUUAGCUUACGAUUAACGUUUAUCAAGCAACGGGAAGUGACUGGUUCAUGAAGGGACAAGGAUGGAUGGCGAUGAAGGGGGACGCACACUAGCUACCUGGUUGGAAAGUCUUGAUCUUGAACAGUACAUCCAGAACUUCCGCGAUGUUGGUAUCUUUAAUCUAAAGGAUUGUGUGACCUUGGACAGCGACUUCCUCAAUGACAUUGGCAUCAACUUACUGGGACACAGGAAAAGAAUCCUGGAACAUCUACCCCUCAUUGACAUAAAUAAAUAUCAUGAAGAGCAUGACAGAGCCAAGUCUGUACGAACAUUGCCACCAAAUCAGGAUUCUAUUUUCACGUACCCCUCACCUAGUAAAGGGGAAGUAACUUCCAAUAUUGUUCUACCAAAGAGAAGCAGAAGUGAAAAGAAGGCAAAUAAUAAGUCACAUUUGCUUGUAGAUAUGCAAAAGGACCACCCUCCUAUCUCUCCGACCACACCUACAGAUCCGCCUCAAAGGUGCUCCCCUCAAAAUGUAGCACUCCCUAUCCGUGUAAAAAGCCCUCCACCAAAUACAGCCAUGGCAACAGAAAAACAAGCUCCAAAGACAACCCCUCCAGUUCCUGCCAAGCGGGGAGAAAUUCCAGCCCUCUUGCAGGAGACUGAGAAACCAAAGGCAAAACCAGUACCAAAACCCAGAAAAACUUUACAAAAGAAACAGAUAUUGUCUACAUCAACGUCUGUGCUGCCAUCACAGUCGGACUACUCAACUCCCAGACAGAUACGAAAUUCAGUUUCUAUCUCGGGUCUGACCAUAGACGAAUCUUCUGACUUCUCUGGUGACACAUUUGAUCCUAUUAAGUCAGCUUCCUUAGAACCCACAUCAUAUCAGGCAGGGGAAGGAGUUGAUUUGUCUCUACCAACUAAUCAGCCUGGACGAGGAAAUGAUUCGUCUCUACCAUCAAGUCCUCUGGAUUUAGAUUUAAGCUUUGUUCCUAGGACAUCUUGUGAGUCUGACAGAAGAACUAUGAGUGAAGUUUAUGUAAACAUGGACAUUUUUGGCGACAAUACCAACGCAAACAAUCAUCCAAUAAGUCAUGGGAAGGAUAGUAACAGUGAUAAAAUCAUUCCUCACGGAAACAACAUGGACAACGAAUAUGCUAAUGUGGAUCUGAGUCACAAUGAGGCUAGUAUAUACGAACCUAUUUGGUUUGGGAAAAGUGCACCAAAAUCCACCAAAUCUGCUACUAGUACUUCUACCAUUGCCUCUGAUACUUCGCCUGUAUCCUCUUCAGGCAAUGAUUCUAAAGCAUCUCCACAAAUUGACAGUAUUGUUCCUGUGCCAGGAACUGAUAUGUUUGGACACUCCACAGGUUUGAGCACCAUAGGGCUGCCAUCUACAGCGACCUCUAGCAUGUUUGAUUCAUCGGAGGUAACAGAUGAGGGUGUGUACGCUAAUGUGGAACCUGCUACUCCUCCAAAGAUGGACAUAACCCCUCCAAAUACUUCCUCUGCAUUGUCAGAGUUAGAUUUAGACUUCUUCACUAAAAACACACCUACCACUUGCACAUCAAGCACCCCUAAUGUGAUUGGAACAUCGGGGCCAGGGAUGAUGACAAACACUCAGUUAAAUCUCAAUAGCAGCAUCAGUGGUAACAGUACAGGAUCGCCAGACGCAUCUUUUGAAUUGCCACCCCCAGAUUUUCCUCCCCCUCCUCUGCCCCCUCCUCCUCCACCAACAGACAGUCUGUCUAUGUUUGAUCCUCUGGCAUGUGAAUCUAAGCCCACUUUUCAUCCUGAGCCUGCAAUGCCUCCUGUUCCACCUCGUGGCGCCACGACAUCCCUAAAUUCUGGCUACGUCAAUGUAGUGGCAGGACAAACAGCACCUUCUAAUAACCCUGGGCAACCGGUGCAGUCCCCUUGGCCUUCUGUCCAGGGUGAUCUACCAGCAGAACUCUGCUUUACACCAAAUAAGGGACAAAUUUUUUCCACACAGCUUCAGAUGAACGAUUCCUCUGAAUACUGUUUUGCUACUUACAAUAAAACGCCUCAGAAAACCAAACUGCAUGAGAAUAUGAAACUACCUUCUUUGUCUACCCCAGGGCCAGACCCCUUCAAAGACGAUGACCCGUUCACUGAGUUUGGUGUGGAAUGUGCCGUGUUUAACCAGGGUGGUGAUGACCUCAGCAACACUGAUAACGAUGGUACAGUGGCAACAAGGGCAGACAACUCUAUGGGUGUUUAUGAAUUUGCCCAGGAAGAUAAUUCUGGUGACUUUGAUCCAUUUGGUCUAAAAGAAAGUAACCAAGGAGCAACAGGUGGUCCAAAGGAGUGGUCAAGCUCGGCUAGUCCAUGUACUCUCAAUGAUAUACCGCCCCCUCCCCGCUGGGACAAAGCUUUAGAUGACCCUGGGAGACUGUACUCAAUGGCUUUUGGAUAUAAUAAUGACCAGAGCACUGAUGAGUCAAUGUCUGAUCUAGAUGAGCCAGAACCUGUGGAUAGUGGAAAUAGUCCAGUCAUUCUUCCCAACCCAGUGUUGAGGCCAAUAUCCAUUGUGUCUGAUGACGAGAUACUGCAUCAAAAAAAAGGUGAACGAGCAGGUUACCUGUACAAACAAGGCGGACAAAAAGGCAACAAAGGUUGGAGAAAAAGAUGGGUGAUCUUCAAUGGAAAAUCUGUACGCUACUAUGCCAAUGCAAAGAGCCAGGUUUCCAAGAGAAUCGUGCCUGUAACAUGCAUGACGGGGGUUACAAACCAGAUUAAGGCUAAUGACACACACAAAUUCAAAUUCAAUGUCGAGACGAAGAACAGAACAUUCCAAUUUGCAGCUGAAACAUUAGAUGACUGUACUCACUGGUGUAGCUGUUUGAUGGCUGCUAUUUUAACAAAGCCCCCAUCUGAGGCCGUACUUGAGGGCGGGGAAAUGAACUAUCCUGAUAGACAGGGGUCUAUUCGGUUUGAGAGGUACCGGCGGAACCUGCAUGUGGUGUUGAAAGGGGGUCGGAUGUGUUACUACAACACACUGGAGGACUAUAAGAUAGCAUCCCCGAUCCAUGAGAUAGAGAUGAAGCUAGCAAGUGUGAAGGAACUACCAAGGAACAAGUUACGACUGGCCACUCAUUACACUCAGUUUGUGCUGGCGUUCGAGACUUAUGAGGAUUGUGUGACGUGGAGAAUGGCGAUGGAGGAGUCAAUAGCUGACGCUCUAGGGGAUAACACUAUAUUGGAACAGAUCAAAAAGAAUCCCAGUAACCACGAGUGUGCUGACUGUAGUGCUCCAGAUCCUCACUGGGCCUCCAUUAACAUGGGCAUUGUGUUGUGUAAACAGUGUGCAGGUAUUCAUCGUAAGUUUGACCUGAAUGUCUCGAAAGUGCGGUCACUACGAAUGGACACUUCUGUAUGGUCACCGAGUCUUAUUGAAAUGAUGAAACAAAUUGGCAACCACAAUGCAAACCUGUUCUGGGAAAAACAUCUACGGGCUAAGAGUGGAUUUAACCAAGACAUGGAAUCAGCACAGCGAAAACAGCAUCUAGAGAACAAAUACGAGAACCGGAAAUAUAUAGACAAACAUCCGCUCAGCGAUAACAAACCUGCUCUUAAUGAGGAGCUACUGAAGGCCGCCUCCACCGCUGAUAUUCUCCUCACGAUGAUGCUUGUAUUCUCUGGUGCAGAUGUCAAGGUUAUCAAACCAGGCACACAAGAGGAAACAGCCUUCAGCAUAGCUAAGGCAGCUGGUCAGAGAUUGCAGAUGGAACUGCUGUACCAGAAUGGUGGUGAUUUAACAGCAGCUCGGCUGUGUGAGGAACCAGAUAAGGCUAGGGAGUCAAAAAUCAGGUCUGAUGUCCGCACACAAGGAUUUCUGCUUAAGACUGGCAGUGAUAAGAAAGAUUUCCUGAAGAGGUUUUGUGUAUUGGAGCAUGGCUGUAUGCGCUACUUCACUAAUGAAAAAAGUGGAACAGCUAAGGGGGUCAUUGACCACGAAAACAUGCUGUGUGUCCAGGCUACUCCUACUGACCGGUCGAUACUGAGUAUCAAGGCACCCUUAAUAAACCAAAAAAUGGAGAUCACCAACAGGUACCCUGAGGCUUUUGAGCUGAGUACCUGUGCGUCUACAGGUAGUCGAGUGUACCUCUUUGCUGCAGCCUCACCUGAAGAGAAGAUGACGUGGAUGAGGAAAAUAUCACAGUUGAUCUGUCCACUACCGUUGAUGGAAGAUGUGCGACAACAGGACUUCUGUUUGGCUGGGAAAUUCUACGUGAAGGAAGGACUGUCAUCGACGUGGUACGAGUCCUGGGUUAUGGUCAACAAAAAGGUUGUGUUAUACACAGACAAGGAUAUGAAGUUAACAGAGGAUGUUGACCUCAGAAAAGCUGUUAAUAUCAAGUACCAAGGUGAUGCGUUGAGCAACUGUACCUCCUGUAAAGAAAGUGGGAAACACUUCGUGCUCGACUUACCUGGUGGCAGAGCCUUGUACUUCCAGGCAGACUUACUACAUGACACCGAGAGACUGUUUAAUGCUAUAAGUAAUUUGAUGAAGUCUGGUGGUGACACGCUAAUUGACCAACAACUGACUUCAGAUGAUGUGCCGGUGAUAGUGGACAAAUGUUUGAAGUUUAUAGAUGACCAUGGCCUGCAAGAGGAAGGCAUAUACAGGCUGGCUGCUACCAACUCUAAGGUUGAUACUCUGCUUGCGACGUUCGCCAAAGAUGCUCAUGCUGUGAAGCUUGAGUUGGGCACACACACUGUACACGAGGUGGCCAAUGCUCUCAAGCGGUUCUUCAGGAACCUCAAGGAUCCACUUCUCACGUCGCACCUGUAUAACACCUGGAUAGAGAAAAGUUUAGAGAAAGAUGUCGCAGGUAAGACCACAAUGACUCAGACUAAGUUAGACUGGUAUCACUACUACAUACGAGAACUACCCACGGUACACAGCCGCACCCUCCGACGACUCGUCAUACAUCUCGCCAAAUUGUCAGGCUACAGUGUAGAAAAUAAGAUGACUGUGAAAAACAUAGCUGCCAGCUUUGGUUCCACCUUGAUGAAGGCAGGAGUGGACUCUUCCACUGCCACUGCCACAGUACUGGGAGGUGCAGAGGGAGGUCAGAAUAUUCCCCACGAGAUGCGUGUGAUUGAUGACAUCAUCACUAACCAUGAACAGCUGUUUGAGCUUGAGAAAGAGAAGGAAAAUCAGAUCGCGGCCGGCGAGAAGCGCCUCAGGGAUCUACAGGCUCGGGCUAGUAAACGGGUUGAAUGCAACGUUUUUUCAAAGCAAAGUACCAUUGGCGACCCCAUGAUGGUUUCUGUACAUUUCCUCAUCCACAAUGGACAUAGCGAAAGUGUCCAUUUAAAACACGAUACAACAGUACAGGAAAUUAUUGGGCCUCUACUAACGAAGUUUAAAGUGCAAGCCUCGCCCAAUAACUAUGCCCUACAUGAGAUGGUGUGUAACGGUGCUGUGGAACGCCUGCUGUACCCAAAAGAUAAUGUCUAUACUGUGGUAAUGUCUUGGGCUGACUGGCAGAGUGACUACAGCAGAACCGCAUGUCUAUGUCUCAAACCGUCGGAGCUCGCAGACAAGUUGGAAAGCAAUUUUAAACCUGAGAAAGGUCCAUUUUUGGAGCUAAAGUUCAGCAAGAAGGACAGAAGUUUCACCAAGUUUGCUUUUCAGUUUAGAAGUAGUAAACUGACUUACAGUAAGAAGAUAAGUCAAAAGCCUGUGAAUUCUUGGAAUGUAGAAGAUUUAAGCAUCUAUAUCGGUGCUGAUACAGAACGCAAGGCAGCCAAGUUUCCUUUAACCUUCAUGAAGAAAGGAGACAAAGUGGGUUCUAAGGAGAUGCCCAACUUUGGCCACACACUGAGUUUUGGGUCUGAGAGUGACCAGCUAGAAUGGGCUGCUGCUAUGGUCAAGGCACAGAAUCCUGGACCCCUGACAACAUGAGAUUACAUCAACAGUUGGCUGUUAAGCCAAUGAAUUAUUCUGUAUGAGGCUACAAGAGAGGAAUCCCAACCCAGUGGUGCUGUCGACUUUGACCUUGAAAUGACAUUCAGCAGGAUAAAAAACUGUCGUCACAGAAUUGUCAUUCUCAAUGGAGGACAAGUGUCUGUUCUUUGUGUUCUGUUCAGUGAAUAGAUGAACGUAGCCUUCAGUGAUGAAACGUGAGGAGCAGAAAGAAAAACGAGGUUUUUUUUGUCAAACCUCAUUGUUUGCGUUUUCCCUGGAAGUUGGACUUGGUGUGCUUGACCUUGAACAGGUGUAGGAGGUGAUAAAAACACAUGUGCAAUAUGAUAGGUGUUCCUAAGCCAAGUGAUCAUUUAUAACACAGACUCAAGUUGUUGUGAAAAAUUCAUUUUAAAUGCCAAAAUAUAUACAUGUGUAGCUCUGCCUUCCCUAUAUAUAUGUAGUGAAGUGAAUGUUGCGCAAUGUUUUUGAACUUUAUGUUUUCAUGUGUGCUUGUAAUAUACUGUGCCCUUUUUAUAUAGAUCAUGCCCUUGUAUGUAGGUCACAUGCUCAUAUAUAGGUCACAUCCCUGUAUGUAGGCCCAAUCCUAUUAUGUAGGUCAUGUCCAAAUAUAUAAGUAACAUCUUCAAAUAUAGGUCACAUCCCAAUAUGUAGGCCACAUCCUAUUGUUCAGGUCCUGUCCAAAUAUGUAGGUAACAUCUUCAAAUAUAGGUCAUAUCCCAGUAUGUAGGCCACAUCAACAUACAUAGGUCACAUCCUAUAAUGUAGGUCGCAUCCUCAAAUAUAGGUCAUAUCCUAGUAUGUAGGCCACAACCACAAAUAUAGGUCACAUCCUAUAAUGUAGGUAACAUUUUCAAAUAUAGGUCACAUCCUAGUAUGUAGGCCACAUCCUCAAAUAUAGUUCAGUCACAUCCUUCUUAUAUAGGUAACAUACUUAUACAUAGACCACCCAGCUAUUUGAUGGCCACGUUUUUCUGUAGACCACACUCACCACUUUAUUCCUGCUGUAUGACAAUAGAGAUGAUGACCCAGCCUAUAUACUGUCAGCCUUAUCAGCCUUGUGUUAGCCACAAAACACACACCUUUGUACAGACUGUGUCUCUAUGUAUAGUGGUAAUUUACCAAUACUAUUUACUUACUCAGCCAUUCACCUGCAGUGUUUAUGCUUCUGUUUUGUUUAAUAUCUACUUACAAAACCAAUGUUAUAGUCUUACCAUUACCAAGAUUAUCAAAAUUGUAAAAGUUAAGUUAUGGCAAAAAA
rnacentral:misc_RNA from 1 species